rnacentral:lncRNA from 1 species
UUUUUUUUUUUUUUUUUCAAAAAAGAGAAUGUGACAGCUUCUUCAAGCUGCUGGAGCAAUCCAAUCAGUGGUGGCCCCUUUCCCUGGGAAGUGGAGAAAAUUGAUCCUAGAGCUUUCCUGAGAAAGUAUGCAGUAGACUAGAAAAGACACUGUUCUAAGUUGUUCCUCUUAUCAGAAUGCUUUUUCUUUGCAUAACAUGCUCUGUUUUUUACUAGAGCUAUGACUAUCACCAAGGUGAUAUAGAUUUCAUUUAAUAAUUUACCUUAGCCUGGAGUUACGAAAUAUAAUUUUCAACACAUGACUUCUGAACACACCCACCUCAAACUUCAUGUUUUGUAAUAGAAUUACCUCUAGAAAGAUAGUCUGAUCUAAGGCUGUGAUCUUGCCAUUAUUUGUGACAGAGGCUUUUGAGAUUAUGAAUUUAAUUUUGGCCUGUUGGAAGUGAAUCCGUGUCUUAAUGAUGUUAUUAAUAAGUUAUAUUCUUAAGUAUUCAGUAUCCGUCUACUUUUUUAUAUUUUUAAUUAAAAUGUUUUACAAUAAGUAUUCUUCUUUACUCCAUCAGUGUACCUAGUAAUCCAGUGAAAAUGACAAUUCCUUUGUUGACACCAGAUCAACAGUCCAUAUGCUGCUUCAAAUCAUAUGAAGUACUUUGAACCUGGAUAUAUUCCUUGUUGUGUGACUGUUUUAAGCCAGCAGAAGAGAGACUUGCAGAGACCAUUCCAAGUGAGACUACACUUCUCACCAUGUUUUCAUUUGAACCAACCACGUGACCAUUACAGGAAACUACAUCUCUUGGAGCACACUCCAAAAACAAGAUAUGUAGAGGUAGUUAAACAAUUCCACCUAUCUAUGAGGUAUAGGCAAAAUGGUAUCAACUCUUGAUUUGUGAGCACAUUCUAGGUGGAGAUAAUUGGCUACAGCACAGUUAGCUUCCUAGGAAAAGACUUGGCAGAAGAAUCAGGAUGUCUCCUCAGCAAGUUCACUGAUGAUAUGAAGCUGGGAGUUUAGUUAAAUGAGGUUUUUUUGUGUUAGAAAGCAAAACUGGAAAAAAAGAAAGAUCCAAAAAUAUAUUAAUUUGUUUAGAAUGCUUACUGUAAUACACAAAUGAUGCCUUUCAAAUUUCUUUCCUGAAUGUUUCUUCUCAAAAUAGUAUACCGAAAGGAGAAAAGAUAUUUUACAAUUCUUAAAUUAUAAAUUAAUAUUGGAGUAGAAUUGACUUAGACCCUACUUAAAUUUAGAAAUAAAAUGUUUGGGAAAAAAUUGAAAAAAAAAAAAAGUUACUUUAUAAGUUUGUGUUAAAAGCUAUAACUCCUUAAAGGCUCUUACUCCCUUUCCAGAAACAUACCCUUUUUGCUUUUAGAUACUCAAGUCUGUCAGCAUAGAUGCCGCUACCCAUUCAGAAUUGCAUAAUCUAAUUUACAGUCAUAGUUUAACUUCAUUUGAAGAAACAAUAUGACAACAAUUUGCAACUGCCUCAGGGUGGGCACAGCAGGUCUUACUGAAGCUGGAUAUUCAUGGGAUAAGUACACACAACCUUCUUGGCAAUUUAUGGAUGCUGCUCAUAACUUUACUGCAUCUUGAGACACAGUUCAAGGCCAGUAGUUUCCCUUGUUUUGUUGAUGGAUAUUGGUUGUCCCAAAUUAAAUAAAAGUUACUUCACUUGACUAGAAGAGAAAAAAGAAACAUUUAGAACUUGCAGUAGUUUAUUCAAAUGGUAAAGUCUUUAAGAUCUUUAAGAUAAAGUGUUCAGCAGUGCCUGUAGGCUAUCUACAUGCUAAAACAGAUGAAAGGAGAAAAUUGGUACCUGGAGAGAGGCAGAAAAAUUCUUUGUAGCCUUCUUGCCUAUAUUGCAUUUUUAUGUGCACCGCUCUGAGGUGUAUUCACUUAUGCUAUAUGUUUUACAUGAAAGAUUAACACCUCAAGGAAAAAUAAAAGAAGUUAGGAGAAUAUGAUCCUGAUGAAGAAUUUACCAUAUUUUCUUCAAUGUUAAAUGUUAUAUUUUAAUGCCAUAUUGGAAAAUAUUAGGAUAAUACUUGUUAAAAAUCAUAGGUAAUAUUAGUGAAACACAGACAGAAGAUUCUUCAACUAAUUAAAGUUGAAAAGUGGUAUAUUUAUUACAGCGCCGGACACAAGCAGAAUUAUUUCCAAAAGCAUGUGCAAAAAAGUCACAAAUUCCUGCUCUCUAUUUAUCCAAAAAGGUUUUACAUAUUCAGAUGGUUUCCAAUACAGUUUCUAUGAUGCUUAGUACAUAAACAUUAACUCUCACCUGGUAUUAUAAUUAGCUGAAUAUUCAUUAUGCCUGUGCAAUUGUUCUCCUUCAGUGGGCUUCUGGGAAGGAAGUAAGAUGUCUUCUUCAUGGUAAACUCUUCAUCCGUGUCAAGUUGGCAGGGCUCUUUGCCUUGCAGGUCACAGUCCAAAUCCCUUCUCAUUCUUAGAAGUCAGUGGUAUUUAUGGCUCCUGCACUCUUACAACACUUCAUAUUAUCACCUGUCAUUCCCAGCCUUGUUUCAGUUAUCCCCACCUGAUAUCAACUGAUUUCCUUGUUAAGCUCUAAUCAGAGUAUAUGAUCUUUGCUAACUACAUUUCUAACUUAACCCCUUGACUCAUCAGAAGGUUCAUGAAGCUGUAAUAACAAAACAAAAUAAGUGAUAAGUGGCUGGGCAAAAUACAGUGAGAGUGUCCUCAUUCUGGCCAGGGCAGGGUUAAUUUUUGCAGUAGCUGGAAGGUGGCAUGGCUAGGACCAGAGGUCAUUCUGUACCACCUCAAGUCAUUGCCGAGGGUGAGAGAAAAGGACUCUUCCAGGGAGAAGGGCCCUUGCUGCUUGGGUAAGCGUGGUGCCAGUCUCUCCUGGAGGGAGCAGUUGGGAGCUGUAGUCUGGAGUUGGAGGGAGUGUUGGGAGUCACAUGGCUUCAGUUGGUUGAGCACCACAGUGAGCAUUUUUGCUUGUGAAUCACCUUCUCUCUUUUACUUUUAAUAUUGUUGCUUUUUUUUUUAAUCUCAUUGCUGUUUCCAGUAAAUUGUUAUCCCAAUCCAUGCAUGAUCUUUGCCUUUUGUGCCUCCAGUUGUCUUCUCCAGCCCUCUGAAAAGUAGGAAGGGAGGGCAAGGGAAAGCGAGGGAGUAGCAUGUGGUUUGGAGUGUCUCAGUGAGAGUACUAAAUUAGAGGACACUAUUCUUAAACCACGAAAAAGGACCAUAGUAAAAAUGUUGCUCUAUCCUAGCAGAUGCAAUAAGUUUUUACUUUUUUUGUGACACAAAUAGUAUGAUUCUUAGUACUAGGUUCUUCUUGCUAUAAGCCUUUAUCAGCUGCAUGUGUUUAUGCAGCACUCCAUUUUAAUUAGUCUGCUUAGAAGGAAUAGCAGGGGUCUCUAAUUAUCUUCACAAACUAGUGAUCUGCCCAGAAAAUGAGGAAUGAAUAAGCAUUAAGCAGUCAGAGGCCAGUAUUUAAUCACAGAGAGAAGCAGGAAGAGUGGAAGAUAAAGAAAUGCAAUUUUUACUGAUUUGGCAGAGCCCUGAAAAUUACUAAAAAUAAUCCUUCUUUAGUAAAACACGCUAGUUCUAGAUACAGAGAUUUAUGAUUUAUUCUUAUCAGUAAUAUUUGACUAGAUAUGUCAGAAUAUUUUUUUCCUCAUAUCUGUGCCAUACUUCUGAUCUUUUUAUUUUAUAUGUGUCUGUUUAGGCAUCAGUAGCAUUUCUUGAAGGACUCUUAUGAGAAUAAUAUUUUCCAAGCAUUGUUUGUAAUUUUUCAGUCCAAGUUCUAAGGAAAUAAAGACCAUUCUUUCCUUCUUUUGGAAAAAAAAAAAAAAAAGAAAAAGAAAAA